rnacentral:snoRNA from 1 species
CCCCUCUCAGGGUUGCACCUGGAGAGUUUCCAGGACUCUACCAGUCUUGACUAUGGGAGGGAGAGUCAGGCAGAGGCAUAUCCAUUCCAUUCCUAACUUGGGCAGUGGUUAGCAAGUGGAAGGCCAUCUACUACAAGU